rnacentral:rRNA from 1 species
UACGUAGGGGGCAAGCGUUAUCCGGAUUUACUGGGUGUAAAAGGAGCGUAGGCGGCGAUGCAAGUCAGAAGUGAAAGCCCGGGGCUCAACUCCGGGACUGCUUUUGAAACUGUGUUGCUAGAUUGCAGGAGAGGUAAGUGGAAUUCCUAGUGUAGCGGUGAAAUGCGUAGAUAUUAGGAGGAACACCAGUGGCGAAGGCGGCUUACUGGACUGUAAAUGACGCUGAGGCUCGAAAGCGUGGGGAGCAAACAGG